AGUGAACGCUGGCGGUAGGCCUAACACAUGCAAGUCGAACGGCAGCACAGUAAGAGCUUGCUCUUACGGGUGGCGGGUGGCGGACGGGUGAGGAAUACAUCGGAAUCUACUUUUUCGUGGGGGAUAACGUAGGGAAACUUACGCUAAUACCGCAUACGACCUACGGGUGAAAGCAGGGGAUCUUCGGACCUUGCGCGAUUGAAUGAGCCGAUGUCGGAUUAGCUAGUUGGCGGGGUAAAGGCCCACCAAGGCGACGAUCCGUAGCUGGUCUGAGAGGAUGAUCAGCCACACUGGAACUGAGACACGGUCCAGACUCCUACGGGAGGCAGCAGUGGGGAAUAUUGGACAAUGGGCGCAAGCCUGAUCCAGCCAUACCGCGUGGGCGAAGAAGGCCUUCGGGUUGUAAAGCCCUUUUGUUGGGAAAGAAAAGCAGCAGGUUAAUACCCCGCUGUUCUGACGGUACCCAAAGAAUAAGCACCGGCUAACUUCGUG
rnacentral:rRNA from 1 species